AUGCAUCUCUUCCUCAUCCCUUUCGGGUUUUUCUUGUCCCUACACUUCCCUGGAUGUUCUGCUGCCAUGGACACCAUUACAUCUAGGCAAGCACUUGUCGGCAACGACAGGAUCAUCUCCAACAACGGCAAGUUUGCUCUCGGCUUCUUCCAGACAGGCAAUGAUCAUAACCCAGUUACAGACACCACCACGUCGGAGCUGAUAAUAUCCAGUGAUGGCAACCUCGUCAUCUUAAACCAAGUCACCAUGUCCAUCAUCUGGUCUACCCACACGAAUACCAUAAGCAACAAUACCAUUGCUAUGCUAUUGAACAGCGGAAACCUCAUCCUACAGAACUCCUCGAACUCAUCAAAUGUGUUGUGGCAGAGCUUUGAUUACCCCACAAAUACCUUCCUCCCUGGUAUAAAACUAGGUUGGAACAAGAUCACGGGUCUGAAUCGCCGUCUGGUUUCUAGGAAGAACUUGAUUGACCUAGCCCCUGGCAGAUAUGGUGCAGAGUUAGAUCCAAGUGGUGCCAAUCAGUACAUCUUUACACAGCUGAACUCGUCCAUACCAUAUUGA
rnacentral:rRNA from 1 species